UGGGGAAUAUUGGUCAAUGGGCGCAAGCCUGAACCAGCCAUCCCGCGUGCAGGAAGACGGCCCUAUGGGUUGUAAACUGCUUUUCCAGGGGGAGAAUUUUUCUGUCGUGACAGGAAUUGACGGUACCCUGGGAAUAAGCAUCGGCUAACUCCGUGCCAGCAGCCGCGGUAAUACGGAGGAUGCGAGCGUUAUCCGGAUUUAUUGGGUUUAAAGGGUGCGUAGGCGGACUGAUAAGUCAGUGGUGAAAACCUGCAGCUUAACUGUAGACUGGCCGUUGAUACUGUCAGUCUUGAGUGUGGUAGAGGUAGGCGGAAUGUGUAAUGUAGCGGUGAAAUGCUUAGAUAUUACACAGAACACCGAUUGCGAAGGCAGCUUACUGGGCCAUUACUGACGCUGAUGCACGAAAGCGUGGGGA
rnacentral:rRNA from 1 species